UACGAAGGGAGCUAGCGUUGUUCGGAAUCACUGGGCGUAAAGCGCACGUAGGCGGAUGUGUCAGUCAGGGGUGAAAUCCCGGAGCUCAACUUCGGAACUGCCCUUGAUACAGCACGUCUUGAGUCCGGAAGAGGUGGGUGGAAUUCCUAGUGUAGAGGUGAAAUUCGUAGAUAUUAGGAAGAACACCGGUGGCGAAGGCGGCCCACUGGUUCGGUACUGACGCUGAGGUGCGAAAGCGUGGGGAGCAAACAGG
rnacentral:rRNA from 1 species